rnacentral:rRNA from 1 species
UACGGAGGGGGCUAGCGUUGUUCGGAAUUACUGGGCGUAAAGCGUGCGCAGGCGGUUUUGUAAGUCUGGCGUGAAAUCCCCGGGCUUAACCUGGGAAUUGCGUUGGAGACUGCAAGGCUGGAGUCUGGCAGAGGGGGGUAGAAUUCCACGUGUAGCAGUGAAACGCGUAGAGAUGUGGAGGAACACCGAUGGCGAAGGCAGCCCCCUGGGUCAAGACUGACGCUCAUGCACGAAAGCGUGGGGAGCAAACAGG